rnacentral:rRNA from 1 species
GACCUGCGGAGGGAUCAUUACAGAGUUAUCCAACUCCCAAACCCAUGUGAACUUAUCUCUUUGUUGCCUCGGCGCAAGCUACCCGGGACCUCGCGCCCCGGGCGGCCCGCCGGCGGACAAACCAAAACUCUUGUUAUCUUAGUUGAUUAUCUGAGUGUCUUAUUUAAUAAGUCAAAACUUUCAACAACGGAUCUCUUGGUUCUGGCAUCGAUGAAGAACGCAGCGAAAUGCGAUAAGUAAUGUGAAUUGCAGAAUUCAGUGAAUCAUCGAAUCUUUGAACGCACAUUGCGCCCAUUAGUAUUCUAGUGGGCAUGCCUGUUCGAGCGUCAUUUCAACCCCUAAGCACAGCUUAUUGUUGGGAACCUACGGCUUCGUAGUUCCUCAAAGACAUUGGCGGAGUGGCAGUGGUCCUCUGAGCGUAGUAAUCUUUUAUCUCGCUUCUGUUAGGUGCUGCCCCCCCGGCCGUAAAACCCCCAAUUUUUUCUGGUUGACCUCGGAUCAGGUAGGAAUACCCGCUGAACUUAAGCAUAUCAAUAAGCGGAGGA